rnacentral:rRNA from 1 species
UGCCAGCCGCCGCGGUAAUACCGGCAGCUCAAGUGGUCGUCGCUUUUAUUGGGCCUAAAACGUCCGUAGCCUGUUUGGUAAAUCUGUGGGUAAAUCAACCAGCUUAACUGGUUGAAUUCUGCAGAGACUGCCAGACUAGGGACCGGGAGAGGUGAGGGGUACUCUAGGGGUAGGGGUAAAAUCCUGUCAUCCUUAGAGGACCACCAGUUGCGAAGGCGCACACUGGAACGGAUCCGACGGUCAGGGACGAAGCCUAGGGGCACGAACCGGAUUAGAUA